rnacentral:lncRNA from 1 species
GCGUUCAGCACCGCCGCCAUCUCCGGCUGCUGCACCUCCUCAGCGGGGACAGACGGCAGCCACGUAUCGACUUCCUGCUGACCUCUGACCUCCGCUUACCGACACCGGAACUUCCGCUGCUGAGGAGGCUGGAGGGCUCCGGGAGAGGGGCUGAGGCCUGGCGCCCCACCCCCUCCGGAAUCGUCAGUUGCCCUGGCUCAGCGACCACCCUUCAGGCUCCCCAACUCCCGUUGGUCCCGAACUCCCCUCCCCCGCACCCCAUCCUUUCGGAUCCCAGUUGCUCCAGGUGGGCGGGUGCUACCACCCCCACCGCUCGGUUCGGUGCUGCGGCUGUCAGUGCCCAGCAGGGGCGGGGUCAGUGGAGCCCCGCGCGGGGGUCGGAGUAGGGAGGAUUGACGAGGUCGGCCAGCACCCAACCCUCCAGACAGUCCUGCUGUGCCACCCAGGCUGGAGUGUAGUGGUGCAAUUCGGUUCACUGCAACCUCUGCCUCCCGGGUUCAAGCAACUCUCCUGCCUCAGCCUCCCAAGUAGUUGGGAUUACAGGUGCUCACCACCACGCCCGGCUAAUUUUUGUAAACUUAGUAGAGUCAGAGUUUCCCCAUGUUGGCCAGGCUGGUCUCAAACUCCUGACCUCAUGUGAUCUGCCCGCCUCAGCCUCCCCAAAGUGCUGGGAUUACAGGUGAGAGCCACCGCGCCCGGCGUAUUUUGUAAUUCUCUAUAAAGAAAAGAGAAAGAUCAGUCUUUUCUCCAGCAUGGCUGAUUAAAUUUGUUUCUUAAUAAUUGUUUAUAAAUUUAUUUCAGCAUCACAACUCAUUACUGAUAUUGUUAACGUACUUUUUUAGGGUUAUUGUUCAGUUUGGGAAACCUCUCUCAAGUUUCAUGGAUGUGCU